rnacentral:rRNA from 1 species
UACGAAGGUGGCAAGCGUUGUUCGGAUUCACUGGGCGUACAGGGUGUGUAGGCGGUUUGGUAAGCCUUCUGUUAAAGCUUCGGGCCCAACCCGGAAAGCGCAGAGGGUACUGCCAGGCUAGAGGGCGGGAGAGGAGCGCGGAAUUCCCGGUGUAGCGGUGAAAUGCGUAGAGAUCGGGAGGAAGGCCGGUGGCGAAGGCGGCCUUCUGGACAGUGACUGACGCUGAGACGCGAAAGCGUGGGGAGCAAACAGGG